rnacentral:tRNA from 1 species
GCCUGGGUGGCUCAGUCGGUUGAGCAUCCGACUUCAGCUCGGGUCACGAUCUCACGGUUCAUGGGUUUGAGCCCCAUGUUGGGCU